UGCCGUCUUUGUUUUGGCUUU
rnacentral:piRNA from 1 species